AACAACGCUGGCGGCAGGCCUAACACAUGCAAGUCGAGCGAGGUAGCAAUACCUAGCGGCGGACGGGUGAGCAACGCGUGGGAACGUACCCUUUGCUACGGAAUAGCCCCGGGAAACUGGGAGUAAUACCGUAUGUGCCCUUCGGGGGAAAGAUUUAUCGGCAAAGGAUCGGCCCGCGUUGGAUUAGGUAGUUGGUGGGGUAAUGGCCUACCAAGCCGACGAUCCAUAGCUGGUUUGAGAGGAUGAUCAGCCACACUGGGACUGAGACACGGCCCAGACUCCUACGGGAGGCAGCAGUGGGGAAUCUUAGACAAUGGGCGCAAGCCUGAUCUAGCCAUGCCGCGUGAGUGAUGAAGGCCUUAGGGUUGUAAAGCUCUUUCAGAUGGGAAGAUAAUGACGGUACCAUCAGAAGAAGCCCCGGCUAACUCCGUG
rnacentral:rRNA from 1 species